CCUAUAAAAUUCUGAUCCCCAUGAAAUACCGACCCGGGUCAGUAUUUUAUGCAUGAAAAACUGACCCGGGUCAUUAUUUUAUGCAUAAAAUAUUGACCCCCCCCCCUAACUGUUGUUAAACAGUUUACAUAAAUACAAUAUUUAUGUUUAAAACCUUAUUAAUCCUUCUUAUCUGUAACUCAUUGUUUCCACAUGUUAGCCCAGGUAAUACACAGGGUGUCAUAUAUGUGUACCUGUGUUGUGGGACCCCAGGGGCUAAUUAUAACUAUGGCAGUACAGGUGUGAUCAGGUGACCAGCACAAAUGCAUGUAUACGUGUGAUAUUUUAUUGAAGA